rnacentral:lncRNA from 1 species
UCUCUCUCUCUCUCUCUCUCUCUCUCUCUCUCUCUCAGCAUGUACUUCCAGAUUUAGCAGCAAUGGCAGCCCUCUUUUUUACCUUCUUAUUCAAACUGAACCGUCUACUCUUUUGAUGGAUCCCUUGCAACCACCUUUGCUGAGAAGCCCACAUCUCUUGGAGCCACCUUUGCUAAGAAGCCCAUCCCUCUGGCCAUUUCUCAUUUGAGCUUAAUCUAGCCAAGCUCAAGCUCGUUCAGUAGGAAUUAACUAAGCUUGAGUUGGAUUUCAUAGCUCAAGCUUGGCUUAAGCUAAGCAUUAGCAAUUUUUGAGCCGAGCCAAGCUGAGUCUAUCUAACUUAUAUUCAUCUUGUUUACCCCCCUUCUCCUAGCCUUAGGCACAAAACCACAUUUAACACUAACGACCAAGGUUCAUUGUCUCAGUAUCAAACCCCGUACCGGUGCCACGCUAGCAUAGUGCUGAUACAGUACGAAAUUUCUUUGGCGUAUCGAGUAUCAGUACGCCACACAUACUCGCACCAAACUGAAAUGGUAUCGUACGCUCCAUACCGUUCGGUUCGGGCCGGUACGGCAUACCAUGUAACGACCAAAGUUAUCUGACGCUUGUAAAGAAUAUUUGAACCUUCACCAUAAAGAGUAGACAUCAUCUUCUAAACCAUCUUGGUGAUCCUUCCUAUUGAAAUUUGUUUCCCCAUUUGAUCCCUUUCUACUUGACAUCCCUCUUCUCCCCCCUUUUCCCCCAAAUUCUCUUCUUCCUUUCUUUAUCUUUACCUUCUUUACUUUCUUUCCUUCUCUAUUCCCUCUUGCCCCAAACCACCAUGUCCUUUUAUUCUCCUCCUACUCCCUCCUCUUUCUUCUUUUUUUCUUUGCCUUCUCAUCCUCCUCUACUAUAUCACUUCCCUCUUUCUCUUUAUUCUUUUAUUCUUUCUCUGAUUGUUUUGGUCUUCUCUUCCUAAAAUAUGAAUCCACCUUUGCAAAAUUGAAUUUGAGUGAAAACCUGCAUUGGACACAUCUAUUCAAACUGACAAUAUCUAGAAGGCAGCCUACAGACAGUACAAAUUCGUAGCUCUCUUGGAGUGUUUGAGGUCUGUGCACAUCAUAAGACACCCAUAUCUUGGAGGCAAAUCUAACAGCCACAUAGUGCAUUGGAGUUUGAAGUGCUCCAAUCAGCCAACCAAAUCAUAUAAGUUCAAUCACAUUGGAGAACCAAGGCGUUGCUGUACUUCUAGAAUAAAAAUUCUAUCAACCUGUGAUUUAUGAUGAUAGAUUUAGCUUCAAGUUAAAAUAACAAUCAACUCCUAGUAAGCAUCUGCAAGUUAAAUUUGAGUGAAAUUAAGUAAUAACUAACAAUAGUCCAAGUCUUAUGUUGUAAGUAUUAAAAAAACUUUGGUGUUAAUGAACCAAUGCUUAGGAACCACAGCUAAGAGUUCUAGGUCAAACAUAUUUGCUAGUAUUUUUUUUAGCUUUGUAAAGGACUCCAUGGAAACCCUCCUCUUCUUGCAAUGGACUUCAUAAAAACCACUCUAUCAAGUCCUUUUUAAUCUUCUUCCUCUUUAAAGCCAGUCCAUCACUUGACAUCUACAAGCAUCUUAUUCUAGACUUGAAAACUAGAAAUCCUUUAUUAAAUUUGGAAGAAAAAAGGCAGAAUAACUUAAUAAACUCCUUAUAGUAGAUUCCACCUAAGAAAUGCGCAUCGAAAUUUAUAAUUGCACUAUUUCUUGGUUCCACAGCUCGAAUUACAGUGAUAUUGAUUUCAUCGUAGCAUAAAUGUGGGCAAUUUCAAUUAAUUCCAUAUAUUUUGA